rnacentral:rRNA from 1 species
UACGAAGGGGGCUAGCGUUGUUCGGAAUCACUGGGCGUAAAGCGCUCGUAGGCGGAUCCUUAAGUCAGAGGUGAAAUCCCAGGGCUCAACCCUGGAACUGCCUUUGAUACUGGGGAUCUCGAGUCCGGGAGAGGUGAGUGGAACUGCGAGUGUAGAGGUGAAAUUCGUAGAUAUUCGCAAGAACACCAGUGGCGAAGGCGGCUCACUGGCCCGGUACUGACACUGAGGUGCGAAAGCGUGGGGAGCAAACAGG